rnacentral:rRNA from 1 species
CCUACGGGAGGCAGCAGUAAGGAAUAUUGGUCAAUGGACGAAAGUCUGAACCAGCCAUGCCGCGUGAAGGAUUAAGGCCCUCUGGGUUGUAAACUUCUUUUAUCUGGGACGAAAAAAGGGUAUUCUUACUCACUUGACGGUACCAGAGGAAUAAGCACCGGCUAACUCCGUGCCAGCAGCCGCGGUAAUACGGAGGGUGCAAGCGUUAUCCGGAUUUACUGGGUUUAAAGGGUGCGUAGGUGGGCUUGUAAGUCAGUGGUGAAAUCUCCGGGCUUAACCCGGAAACUGCCAUUGAUACUAUAGGUCUUGAAUUAUCUGGAGGUAAGCGGAAUAUGUCAUGUAGCGGUGAAAUGCUUAGAUAUGACAUAGAACACCCAAUUGCGAAGGCAGCUUACUACGGAUAUAUUGACACUGAGGCACGAAAGCGUGGGGAUCAAACAGGAUUAGAUACCCUGGUAGUCCACGCCCUAAACGAUGGAUACUCGACAUCAGCGAUACACUGUUGGUUGUCGUGAGCGAAGACAUAAGUAUCCGACCGUCGGAAGGUACGAGUCGCGAAGUAGUUAGUUAAACGUUAAAUUAGUUAAGUUAGUACGGCGUUGAGACGUUGCCGACGGACGACGACGAGGGAGGUUAGG